AUCAUUGACCUAGGACAAAUAUAGGUUCAACUUCUGACAGCGAUGGUCUAAAACAUCAUAAGAAUGGACUACACGCUAUGGAUGUUUUAUAGACUGUGAAAUUUAGCUCCAUCUGGCUCAGAAGUAUCUUGCACCUGGCAAACAAUGUGGGAAAUAUUUGAAGGGAACCCUCAUCAUCAGAAGCAUAAAAGAUCCCGAUCUGAAAGACUUUGAACAUAUUAUAACAUGAAAUAAUACUAAAUAAUGCCUCAGUACGACACAAAAUAAAAGGAUUGGAAAUAUAUUAUUAUUU